GCCUCCCAAAACCUCGCCGAGGAAUUAAGAUGAGGGUGAAAGGGGAUGGUGACGGCACCCAUGAGGAUGGCGUGAAAAAUAAUGAGGGGCAGAGAUGGAGGAUGAUAUUUUGAUGUUGAUGUUAAUGAUUAUUUGGUAAUCACGAGAUGAUGAGGUAAUGAUUGUGGUUUUUAGAUGUUAGUGAUGGUAUUUUAUAGUUUCCAGUAACACUAUUAAAAGAGUAAUAAUAAUAAUAUUAUUAUUAGGUUUGAUUAAUUUGCAGGUUCCCAAUCAAAGUUGCUAGGAUGAUAUAUUAAGUGUUUCAUAGAAAUUUGGUUUCGAGGGUGAACAUGGAUAAAGGAAUUUGAGAUGAAUUCAAGUUGAGCAGGAAUUAAAUUGACUCAUUGGAGAUUUGAUAUUUUGAGAGUAAAUGGUUGUAAUGUUAUUUGCAGUUUAUGUAUUAAGUUG